UAGCAUUCUGUUUUUAUAAUAAAUGCCUGUUGAGUGAGAUAUUUGGUAACGCAUCAAAUAAUGAGAUGCUUAGUAGACAGAUGCAUGGAUAACAUUUGUUUGACCUGAAAUGGUGGAAUUGCUGAAAACUUUUCCUUCCUUUAGGGGCCUAUCUAUCAGUUCGAACUUCCUAAUGUAUCUGAGGAGUACAAGAGUUUGGUGGUUUUUGUAUGUUGCUUUAAUUCGCUUUGUAAAGAAAUGUUGAGGGAUUCUUGUUAACUCUUGUGGUAUUUAGAAGUCUAAAGUUAGUUGUUUUGAAUUUUAAAGAGAGCACGUUUCAGUCAUGCAAAAGUUGCCAUUUUUUUUUUUUAAGAGUUUCUUACCACCACAACAGGCUGUCUCUGUUUCUUCAUUUUUCAUUAGUGAAUGAGUGAGGCUGUGUGAGGGUGAUGUGUGUUUGGAUUGGGUAUGUGUAGUGGUUACCCCACUGCAGUAGUGGACUACUGAUAAACUACAUGUUUUGUCAGUAACUUCUUAUGGGAAUUCUUUCCUUCUUCAAGGGAGAUUGAAGCAGCCCACCUUUCAGUGCUUCAGUACUUAAUCUGCCAAAAAAUCAGUAUCAAAAGCAACCUUAUGUAGAUGAGUAUGCCAAGACAUUAUUUAACUGCACAUAACUACUUUGUCAAUUAACUAGGAAAUCAGGAUGAUAUUAACUGUGUAAUUCAAGCUCACCUCCUAGAAGGGAAAAAGUGUGUUAAUUAUAAUGUAAUUGUAGCUUGCUUCAAAGACUGUAGUACAUUCAGCGUGUUUAGAGAGGGUAAAGAUUUAUUUGAUUGGUUUUUUUCCUCGGAGAAAUGAUCUUCUUGCCUUUUGAGUAACUGCAAAACCUUGAAUUACAAAGUUGUCCAUUCAUUGAGCCUUUCUGAUUGUGGUUAGUCCUGACUAUUCCAAUUGCUGUGGAUUUGGAGUGUCCUAGAUUGUGCAGUAAUUUCCAGUAGCAGUGUAUUAGAGAGAACGUCUCCUAUACUUCUUAGAUAGUCCAGAAAUGUAAAUUCUAGAGAAAUAUUUUCUGGUUGUAGAUCAAUGCUUAGAUGACUUUUUGUUGUAAGCAGAUUGUAAGUAAAACACUACAUCUCUGAAAGUAGCUACUGAGAAGUUUGAAAACUUACUUUGUCUUUGAAGUGAUUUUUUUUUUCUCUUUGGAGUCAGUUCCUGUUGCAGAAGCUUAAAGUUUUGUUCAUGGUCACAUUGUUCAUUAGCUUUGCCUGAAGAGUGUCAUUGAAGCAAAUCGUUUGGAGAGAUGUUCAAACAAUAGCUUCUGUGGCUUUAUUUUUUCCUCCCUCCUGUUUCCCUUUAUUUCCCAAAGGAUAAAAGCCAUAGUGCUGAAAGUGUAGAUGUUAUCUCACCCAGUAAAUUUUGGGCUGUUUUAGAAUUUUCUUUUUCCCUUUGAGUAAUUUUAAGGACUUGAGAACCUUACUGAAGAGCAGCUCAUUUGACUCAACAGGCUUUGUUUCUUCUGGUUCAGUGUGUAUAAGAUGCCUUCCCCAGUUUCAUCUCAAAGACAAUUCACCUCUUAACUGUGCUUAGAGAUGCUCAUAGAGGGAGAAUCCCUAAGGCAUUUUCCUCUGUUCUAGGAAAUAUUAAACAUUUUAUGAGUAAAUAUUUCUCACAGUUCUAAAACAACCUUCAAAAUUAGUCCAGCUUUCUGUUCUAUCUUCUCUAAUCUGUGCAAAACAGCCAAAUUCUGUACUUGGAAAUAAAAAAUAAUCUCACCCAAGGAAUGGCAGAACUCUUUGUUUAUGUGCCGAGUUGUUCAGGACAUUUGUUCUAUUUUUUUCCUUCAAACCUGUUUACAGAGUUUUCAUGCCACUCAUCAGCCUUUCAAGGACAGCAUUUGAGUGAGUGGUAUCCUCUUUUAUCAAACAACGACUGUUAUAUUUACACUUUGAUAACUGUUAUUUCCCUGUACAUAGUGUUACCUAUAAAUUGGUGGGCACUGUCUUGCCUCUAGACAGGGUAAUGAUUUUGGCUGGCUUUAAAUUUGUGGAAGAGUUAGAAGCUGGGAGCUGCUGCUCUCAGGUGAUGUAUCCAAGGGAGGUGGAGUUCCUAGUGCUAUAGAGUGCUUGUGCUUAGUUUUGCCAACUGAAAGGUUUCCUUUGCUGCAAAUGGAACUUCAUAAGAGGGUGCAUGCAGCUGAGAAGAAUUUGAAUCUUGAGUUGUUUGUUCCUACACUUUGGAAAUAAAUAUCUCAUGAUACCAGGUAGUCUGUUUUGUUCAGUGCUUUGGAAAUAUGCUUCUUUUUAUCAGGUGUAUUGUAAGAAAAAACAAUCUUUAAUUUUAGUUAUGGGCACUUCUAAGUGGAAGUUUAUACCUUCAACCACUGAAAUGCUGGGAGCAUGGAGGUAAUUGCAAGCAAAAGAUCGUGAUUCUUAAGUCUUAUAGGCUGCUGCACACUUUUCCCCUUCAAGGUCCUUCGAAUUUUUUGGUUCAAAAAUAGAAAUACUGUGGGAGGCUUGAAUGCUCCCAUAGGCCUGCUUUUCUGAUUUAGUAGUGCUGUGUUUAGUCUGAAAGUUUGGUUUUCUUUUCCUCCCUGGCUUUCAGAAGAGUGCUGUAGUAAUCAUCCUCCAGCCUCAAUCGCAGAUAGCAACAGGUUUCUAGAUCAAUUCCAGAAGAGUCCAUGUGUUCCAUAGUGUAUUUUAAAAAUGAUCUACAUAGAAGAAUCCAGGUAAAUGAGCAGCUAAAAAUUCAGUACAUGAGCAGUUGCGUGGUUUAUUGUGGCAAAAUGCAGGAGAAUUUCUUCCGUGUGUUUGCUGUUUAAUCGUGAGGUAUGAAAUAGUAUGUUACAUGGGAGUAUUAAAAAAAAAAAGCAACUUGCUCAAAUGUGAGCAUUGUCCCACAUCAGGUAAGGGAAGAAGCAGUUCAGAGAUGAUCUCACCAUUUCUAGCUGAUCUGAGAUUAUAGGGAAGAUUCUGAAAGGACAGACUGUGUGAUCUGCCUUCACAGAGAGUAUAGGAAAUGUUGCGGUGGUUUUGUUGGAAGUAGUGCACUUCACAAACUAAAAGCAAAAGAAAUGAGAACAGUGCUACAAAGAAACUUGUUACUGUUGUCCAUGAAGUUCAUAAUUGCAUUUGAAUUUAAAAUAUUUGGACAAAUAUUUGAUCUUUUUUAUGUACACACAUGGAUGAUACCUCACUUGUCACCAUUUGACUUAUAGUUGUAAUAGGAAGAGGAAAGUGGCGUUUGUGCCUAGGAAUUUGAUUUUUACAGCAGAGCUUCUUUGAUUUAGGUAGGUACUGUCCAAAUCUCUCACAGAAUCAUAUUCCUUAGCUUGAGGAAUGCAUCUUGCAGUGGGUAAAGAAAGAUGUCUGGAAAAGCCCAGACUUUGUUUGGCUUUCAAUUGGAAAUAGUAGAAUUCGAAUGAGACGUUUAUUUGUCUCUUCGUUUUAGAGAGUUUUAAGCGUUGCCCAGGACCUCUAAGCAUAUUGUCCUAGAAUUUUUCUUGCUCCUUGAAGGAGAAAGGCUAUUUAAUCUUGCAUUUGACAUUCUUCAUGUAAUGAAUGUUAGGAACUUGCUUAUAGAAAACUCCAUGGACAGAGAAGACAGUAGACAAAACAAGAUUCUCCUGCAGCACUACAGUUACCUCAGCAGGCACACUUUUUUCUUCAAGCUUAACUCUAGUUACUCAGUGUCCCUGUGGAUUUUCUAGAAAGAGUCUGUCUUCCUCCUAGGAGUUCUAUUUGUAAGUAUAUAAAUCUGCAUCCUUGUUUUACACCACAGUCUUUCUUUAUGAGCUACUCCAAGUCAUGACUGCUGUGUGUGUUCCAGGUUUUCUCCUUUAACUGUGCCCUAAGUCUACACAAGGCUGAAGCAACCUUCUUCUCCGCUUCUUCCUCUUCCUUUAUCACAGUCCAGGAUUCAAUUGAGAAUGGUCAUUUCUUCAGGGGGAAAAAUAAACAGAGAGAACAAGCUUUGUGUUUGUACAUACCAUCUGUAUAAACAAUAUUAAAAUAUCAAUAUAUAAUGAUGUUACAAAAGCUGUUACAUUAUUGAAAUUGUUAACAUGAACAAAAAUUAACAUAAAUACUGAUUUUGAACAUCUUGGUAAUUGCAUGAUGUUAACAUAGUUUUAAUAUUUUAACAUACUUUUAAUAUAUAAUGUUGUAUAAUACUUACAAAGAGUAUAUUAGAAUACCAUUCAAUAUGCUUACCAAUGGACUUCUGUUAAUUUCUGAGUUUCAUUCUACAUUCGAAAUUCUUGUUUUGUAUUUUAUGUGUUUUCUUAUGAUGAAAAGCCAGUUUUUGAAGUUCUUAACAGAACUGCUGACUGUAGUUUUCUGACUGAAAUGUCUGCUACUCAAAGCAGCCCAUCAUUUGGGAGUGUGACUGGCUGUCCAUAAUGUCCAAUUUGUGGUAUGUAACACCCUGAUUAGGUCAGUACUCCAUCUGAGUGGAAGAUGAUGCACAGUUGAACAGAUGGUUAACAUUCUGUAAUUGUUUUGGAUCAACAGUUUCAUUUAGGAAUGGUUUUAGUGCAGCUUCAGGGUGAAUUAAUUAAAAUUUUGCUUAAAUCUUUUGAACUGGAGUAUAUUAAGCACUUAUUUAGCUUCUCGUUUGCAAAUAAAGUAGCUUUGACUAAAGUGACAGUUCAACAUUUGGUAAACCGAGUCCACUUCUAAGCAUUUAAAGCAUAAAAACUUAGCGUCAGUCAUGUCAUGCCUCAAACAGGAAAGCUGCAAAUGUUAUCCUGGUAUUACUAGGGAAGGAAAUGAUGCUGCUGCUUUCACAAAGAAGCUGUAUUGUCUUCAAUGAUGGCAGAUGGUAGGAGGUUGUUGUUUGUUUGUUUGUUUUUCUGAUUGGUUGGUUGUUUUUGAAUGAUCACUACUUAAAAUGUAAGCUUGUAAAUGACAUCGUAUUUAGCCAACUCAUGGCUUGGAGCAUUUUGGAAGUUCUUUACAAUGUGCAGCAGGGGGUUAUAGGAGAUGAUAUUGUUUUGGCAAAGUUGGAGAUUUUAUGAAGAUCUGUUGUGUUUUUUUUUCCUUCCUGCCCAG